ensembl:lncRNA
AUAGCCGCAGGAGCGGGGAGGUGGGCGAGCACUCGCAGGCCCACAGCGGACCGAACCACUGGCCGUCCUGAGGGGCGGCAUGAAGGCAAUUCAGAUCGGACCAUCGGCGCCACAGCUGCAGGGGGGACCGGACGUUACCAAGCUGUCUGAGAGAAGGGGGGCUCCUGCUGGUCCAGGCUGCAACACGACCCCUGCAGGGCGCGAGACUACGCCGCCGCCUACGCCGUAGGACUAAACUGAGGCGAGAAACCAGGUAGGACGUCUCUUCGGGAUCGGAAGAAGUCCCGGAGACCCACUGCCCUCGCGUUCCAAAUGAUCCCUUAGGAGAAAAGCCCUCAGUUUGCCCACCUAUCCAACCCUUAGCGCCCCUUCCCUUCCGCCCUUCCCCCUCGUCGCCGCAACCUCACCCUCCGGUCUUCCUCGACCCUCUGGACCGACCUCGUCUUCAGUCCUGUCCUGACCCUUCAGCUCUGCCAUCCACCGAACCCUCAAACACCCAGGACUAACCAUCCUUUUGGGCGUCACCCCAGAUCCACUCCAACUGUCUCCUCAAAGUGUCCCUUCGGAGACACCCCCUCAGCUGACUCGCGCCCAGUAGUCAUCGUUGUACCCACAUCUCCAGUGACGGCUCUGGGGUAGCGCGGCCGCUCAGCACUCAGCCCGGCGACUGCGGCGGGGUCCUCCGCACAACCGGGUCCUUUGCGCCCUCCGCCCCUUUGGCCCCUGCUUCCCAACUUGGUGUCUGCCUGAGCCGGGCUGGGAUUGCUCUCACAUCCCGUUUUACCUUGGGAAAACCUUUGGCCUGGCAGUUUGCCAGUCCCCUGCUACCGCUCUUACCUGUUGCAAAGGGCACCGUGUUCCCGUUGCCCAGGGCUGGCUUGGGAUUACCAGGCUGGCCCUGAGGACGCCAUGGGACUGCCCUGGAGGCAAGGACCGUACAUUAUUAAGUUGUAUCUCCAGCGCCCAGCACAGUGCUUGGCACAUGGUAGCACUCAGUAAAUAUUUAAUGGGUGGGUGAAUGAAUGAGACCAAUGCAGAGGCUGUGAGGCAGAGUGCUUUAGUGAGAAAAAUGUCACUAGUUACAUGAAGUGGGAAAAAAGGAAGGGCAUCUAGGGGAUUACUUGUGGUGCUUACGUUGGGAGCAUAGAACUGAACAUAUUCAGUCUCUCAAUUCAUGCAUCUAAUGUCAUUUACAUAGAAACUUCUAUUUAUCAGCUGAUUUCCCUUUAUGUUCUGUUUAAAAAAAAAAAAAGUCAGGGCCAAGGCUGCAGAAAUUUUUACUGGUCAGUGUGCCUCAGAGGCUGCCCAGAUAAUCUUGAAAGAGCUUUACCCAGGUGACACCCCUCCUCUUGCCCUAGCGACUAACUGCUCCCUCUAGAGAAGAACUGUGGAGGCUAGCCACAGUCUUUAAACCUUACCCAAUGUAGCUGGUCAGCUAGUGCUUCAGGACAGGUUGGAGGAAUGACCUCAGUUAUUUUACCCUUUUAGCUCCUGGAUACCUCCCCUCCCCUUUCCUCCACUGGAGGGGUAGACAUUCCAGGCUGGCCUAGUGUGAGAACUAUCAAAGAUUCCUAAAUACUACUGAAGGAUGAUCAGGCCAUAUGGGCCAUUUAUAUCUCAGUAGACCAGAAUCAGGCAGGGGUUACUGCUAUGUGAACAGUGUCAGUAAUAAACAAGAACACGGGCCUUUUAAAGAUGGGAUUCUCAAAGAACAGAAAGCCUGAAACCUGUUUUUGUUGAUUCCUAAGAGGAUGACCUGAACAGAUUCAGUUUCCUGAAGCUAAGACAGGGUUCGGCGACCUCAGUGUUGGCCCCGGUUCCGUGGGGAAGUGGAUGAUAUUGCUGAGUGAUGAAACAAUGGCUGGCAAGCUGCGGGAGUUUAUGAGCUAAGAAGUAGUUGCCUGACUAAUAGUGGCAUUAUUGUCACUGGGGCUCAGCGUAUUAGUAGGUAAAAUAGGGACUGGAGUUUCUUAGCAGGCUCCAUGGAAAUUAAGCAGUGAUACGGUUUAGGGGAGUGGGGAGAUCCCACCACUGUCUCUGGUGUUCUGCUAUCCGUGUCCCUCCUACUGUAUGGCUAUAGCACACUCACCAUCAUUGUUUCUUUUCUGCUUUGAGCCAGGUCAAAAUCUGAUUUCCUCUGAUUUUUAUGUUAAGUGUUUAAGGUUCCUUUUUGUUAAAUGUUUAAGGUUCCUUUUUGAGGCAAGGCCUGCCUAACUGGAAGCUGGGUAUUUUCUCACCCAUUUCUAGCUUUGAUUUAUCCUUCUUUACUUUUUCUUUCUACCAUUCUCUGACUUAUCUUUGUAACUUUACAAAGUAAGUCUUGGAUCACACAUACUGAAAGCAGGAAAGAGCUCCUGAGCUGAAUUAAGCAGGGGCAUGGUAUCUGGAAACCAGUACUUUUUUUUUUGUUAACCAAUAUGUUUUUAAUGGGCUUUUCUACUUUUCCCUGUCUAGGAUCCCUGUUAAGACCUCAGUAGCCCCAAAACACUCUGGAUUGUUUGAUUUAUUUUUUCUUCACUUCCAAUAUUUCAGAGUGUUGCCAGAUAAAAUACAGGAUGCCAAGUUAAAUUUGAAUUUCAGAUAAACAGCAGGCUGUCCUGUAUUUUUAUUUGCUAAAUCUGGCAACCCUAGUUCAUGGGAAGGCUUAUGUGUUCUGUUUUUCUCUCUGCAACUUUAGGACAAUAACUCAUCCUUUUCUUCUGUUGCUCAUACACAAUGACUGAGCACCCUAUUAAAUGUCACUUGACUGAGAUGGCUCACUGACUGCAUGUUAGGGUAAGGGCAGGCUCUGUAGAGAUAGUGCCAUUGGUCAGUGUUUAGGUUACCCAGAAAACACCCAUCAAAUAUUGACAUAUGAUAUUGUAAUUCCUGUCAAAUGAGUCUGUCUUGCAAAAUGAGCAUAUUAUUUUGAGUGGCCAGAUAUAAACAUUGCUCUGGAUUAACUUCAAGGGAUGAGGGUGGGGUGUGGAGUGCGUUCUAACGAAAAGUUAACAACUCACAGUAGAACUUCUCUUGUACCAUGUUUACUGUUUUUUUUUAAGUUGUGGUAAAUAUAUAUAAUAUAAAAUUUACCAUUCUUAAAUAUAUAGUUCAGUGUCAUUAAGCACAUUCACAUUGUUGCCCAGCCAUCACCACCAUCCAUCUCCAGAACUUGUUCAUCUUCUCAAACUGAAACUGCAUAAUCAUUAAACGGUUAACUCUUCAUUUCCUCUUCCCCCAGCGCCUGGCAACCACCAUUCUACUUUCUUUCUCCAUGAAUUUGACUGCUCUAGGUACUUCAUAUAAGUCAAAUCAUACAAUAUUUGUCUCUUUGUGACAGGUUUAUUUUCACUUAACAUAAUGUCUUCAAGGUUCAUCCAUGUGAUAGCUUGCAUCUGAAUUUCCUUCCCUUUUAAGGCUGAAUAAAAUUCAUUGUAUGUAUAUAUCACAUUAUUUUUAUCCACAUUCAUCGAUGGACACUUGGGUUGUUUCCACCUUUUGGUUGUUGUGAAUAAAACUGCUAUGAACAUUGGUGUACAAAUAUGAGUCCCUGUUUUCAAUUCCUUUGGAUAUAUACCCAGAAAUGGAAUUGCUGAAUCAUAUGGUAAUUCUGUGUUUAAUUUUUUGAGGAAUUGCCAUACCAUUUUCCACAGUGGCUGUACCGUUUUACAUUUCCACCAGCAAUGUAAAGCAUUCCAGUUUUUCCAUAAACUUGCCAACACUUAUUUUCUGUUUUGUUUUUUAAAUAAUAGUCAUCCUAAUGGGUGUGAAAUGGUAUCUUGUGGUUUUGAUUUGCAUUUCUCUAAUGGCUAGUGAUGUUUAGUAUCUUUUCAUGUACUUAUUGGCCGUUUUUAUAUCUUUGGAGAAAAGUCUAUUGAAAUCCUUUGCCCAUUUUUUAAUUGGGUUAUAUGUCUUUCUGUUGUUGAAUUGUAAGAGUAUUUUAUAUAUUCAGAAUAGAAGUCCCUUAUUAGAUAUUAUAAUUUGAAAAUAUAUUCUCCCAUUUCAUGCGUUGCCUUUUCACUCUGUUGAUAGUAUCAUUUGAUGCACAAAAGGUUUUAAAUUUUAAUGAGAUCCAGUUUACCUAUUUUUUUCUUUUGUUGCCUGUGCUUUUGGUGUCACAGCCAAGAAAUCAUUGCCGAAUUCAGUGUCAUGAAACUUUUCCCCUGUGUUUUCUUCUAAGCUUUUUUAAAUAGGUUUAUCUUUUAUGGUUAGGUUUUGAUACAUUUUGAGUUAAUUUUUGUAUGAUGUGUAAGAUAAGGGCCCAAUCUAAUUCUUUUGCAUGUGGAUAUCCAGUUUUCCUAACACCAUUUGUUGAAGACUGUCCUUUCCCCUUUGAAUAGUGUUGGCAUUCUUGUCGAGUAUCAUUUGACCAGAUAUGCCAGGUUUAUUUCUAGGCUCUCUGUUCUCUUUCAUUGGUCUGUGUGUCUGUCUUUAUGCCAGUACCACACUCUUUUUUUUAAAAUUUAUCUUUUAUUGAAGUAUAGUUGAAUUACAAAGUUGUGUUAAUUACUGCUGUACAGCAAAGUGACUCAUUUAUACAUAUAUAUAUACAUUCUUCUUGAUAUUCUUUUCCAUUAUGGUUUAUCACAGGAUAUUGAAUAUAGUUCCCUGUGCUAUACAGUAGGACCUUGUUGUUUAUCCAUUCUGUAUAUACCACUUUGUAUCUGCUAAUCCCAAACUCCCAGUCCAUCCCUCUCCCACCCCCUCCCCCUUGGCAACCACCAGUCUAUGCUCUAUGCUCCUGAUUCUGUUUCUGUUUCAUAGAUAGUUUCAUUUGUGUCAUAUUUUAGAUUCCACAUAUAAGUGAUAUCAUAUGGUAUUUGUCUUUCUCUUUCUGACUUACUUCAUUUAGUAUGAUAAUCUCUAGUUGCAUCCAUGUUGCUGCAAAAGGCAUUAUUUUGUUCUUUUUUAUGGCUGAGUAGUAUUCUAUUGUAUAUAUAUACCACAUCUUAUUUAUCCAUUCAUCUGUUGGUGGACAUUUAGGUUGUUUCCAUGUCUUGGCUAUUGUGAGUAGUGCUGCUAUGAACAUAGAGGUGCAUGUAUCUUUCUGAAUUAUAGUUUUGUCCAGAUGUAUGCCUGGUAGUGGGAUUGCUGGAUCAUAUGGUAAUUCUAUUUUUAGUUUUCUGAGGAGCCUCCAUACCGUUUUCCACAGUGGCCGCACCAACUUGCAUUCCCAUUAACAGUGUAGGAGGGUUCCCUUUUCUCCACACCCUCUCCAGCAUUUGUUAUUUGUAGGCUUUUUAAUGAUGGCCAUUCUGACCAGCAUGAGGCAGUGCCAUACUCUUUUGAUGACUGUAAGCUGUGUAGUAAGGAAGCUUGAGUCCUACAACUGUGUUCUGCUUUUUCAAGAUUUUUUUUUGACUAUUCAGGAUCCUUUGCAAUUUCAUACAAAUUUUAGGAUAGAUUUUUCUAUUUCUGCAAAAAAUAUCAUUAGGAUUUUGAAAGGGAUUGCAUUAAAUCUGUGGAUUGCUUUGGGCAGUUGACAUCCUUUGUGUUGUUGUGGAAAGAGCUACCCUCUUAACAAAUUUUUAAGUUUACAAUAUAUUAUUGACUGUAGGUGCAUUGUUUUACAGCAGAUCUUUAGAGCUUAUUCAUCUUGCUUGACUGAACUUUAUACCCAUUGAACAACAACUCCUCAUUUCCCUCUCCCCAGUCAACCAUCAUUCCACUCUUUGAUUCAUGAACUAAACUAUUUUAUAUUCCUCAGACAAGUGGAAUCAGGCAGUAUUUGUCAUUCUGUGAUUAGCCUAUUUCACUUAGCAUGAUAUCCAACCAUGUUGUCGAAUAUUGCAAGUAUUGACAUCUUAACAAUAUUAAGUCUUACCAUCCAUGAACACAGGAUAUCUUUCCAUUUAUUUGUAUCUUCUUUAAUUUCUUCCAGUAACAUUUUAUAGUUUUCAGUGGUUACGUUUAUUCCCACAUAUUUUAUUCUUUUUGAUGUGUUGUAAAUGGAAUUAUUUUCUUAAUUUCCUUUUCAGAUUGUUCAUUAUUAUUGUCUAGAGACACAACUGAUUUUAUAUGUUUUAUAUGUUGACUUCGUGUCCUGAAACUUUGCUGUAUUCAUUUAUUAAUUCUAACAGUUGGGGGGGUAGAUCUUUAGGGUUUUCUACAUAUAAGAUCAUGUCAUCUGCCAACAGUAGUGCAGAUGCCUUUUAUUUCUUUUUCUUGCCUAAUUGCUCUGGCUAGGACUUCCAAUACUAUGUUGAAUAGAAGUGGCAAAAGUGAACCAUAUUUACUCUUAACACACAGUCUUAGGAAUUUGAUGAUUGGUUUGGUUUGAUGCUUAAGGAUGUAAGUCCAUAAUAGAUGCUGAGAACAAAACUAUAUUUUAGCAUAGUAUAUUAGUGUUAACAGUGAGUCAUCAAGAAAAAGUUAAGUUAUGGCCUAUACACUGUGAUUAAAACAAAAGUGUGGGGGCUUCCCUGGUGGCACAGUGGUUGGGAGUCUGCCUGCCGAUGUAGGGGACGUGGGUUCGUGCCCCGGUCCGGGAGGAUCCCACAUGCUGCGGAGAGGCUGGGUCUGUGAGCCAUGGCCACUGAGCCUGCACGUCCGGAGCCUGCGCCUCCGGAUCCUGUGCUCCGCAACAGGAGAGGCCGCUGCAGUGAGAGGCGCGCGUACCGC